UGACAUCAGCCUAAGAAUCUACAGUGUAUUGUGAAUGAGCCAUGUCACACAGAGCGGGGCGGUUUUGGAAGCGAUUUCAAAUCCGCGACGGAGGGUCGAUGAAAUGAAGCUCCGAGGCGGUUUUCAUUGCGGAAUGUAUAUGAGUGUUCGUGUAUUAUGCAUCAAUAUUGUCAAUCGCACACACUUGAACUCUAUUGUCAUUUUUCAACAACAAAUAACACGAUCCCGUAAUUUACUCGCAGUAGUAUAAUAGUAUAAUAUAGUAUUGAUUUUCAAGAAAUAAAUGAUUCGAUAUAAACGACACGGGCUAAAUGUUGGGCAGGCCAGUGACCAUUCUAUCCUGGAUUCCUCGAGUCGAGAGAAACGCACCUAGCUAGAUAUGGGGUACAGACUAGGGAGCGUUGCUUAUUAAUGGUCAGCUGCAUCCCAGUUGGAAGUAUCCCGUGUCGGCUAUACGUACAGAGCAUUGGAGAUUGUAACAUUUCAAUAAUGAGAACACCGCGAGUAAUCGAUUACAUAUGACUAAAACAGCUGAUAAGAAAAAUUGUCAAAAUAUCGAACUCCCGGCCCCGUCAGGCUAACGCCAUAUGAGCCUUAAUAAAAAUAUAGAAAUUUUUAUAUUAAAUAUAUUUUCAUUUAUAA